CCUUACAAGAAUGAAUAAGACUACUUGAGGGCAGGAACAGUUUUUUUUUUAAUAUCUAUAAAUCCUUAGACCUAUCAUAAUGCCUGUAACAUGGUAGGGAAAUAACAAAUACUAAUUGAAUAUUUGAUUGAUAAAGAUGGGCAUGAAGUUUUAAUGCUUACUAUGUUCCAGGGAAGAAUGUUCCUAUACUUGAAUCCUUAGUGACAGUCUAUGACAGUAUCAUCUCUCACUCGGAUUAUAAUUCAGAGAUGGAUUAUUAUCUAACAUGUACAUUGAACGAAGAUAUCCUAGAGGAUAAGAACAUGGCUGAAAGGAAGUUUUGGUGGAAGAUGGUGGGAGAAACUCAUUUUGUAAUGAAGACAAGGGAGAAGAAAUCAUUUAUAUCUGAACUUCUAAAGAGACAUAUUCCUCUUUGCCUUCCACUGGAAUCCCUCAAGGUUGAAGCAUGCAACAAAAAUCAUAAUGGCAAUAAUAUCAAUUGCCUUCAUUGAUAUUGCACUUUUAGUUUGCAAAUUGUUAAACAUAAACUGUCUCAUUCCAUUACGGGCACCUUGAGGGCAGGGGCUGACUUUUACAUCGGUAAUUAAUAAAAGUUUAUGAUUGAGUAAUCCUUAUAACA
rnacentral:lncRNA from 1 species